GGACUCAGGAAGAGAAGCAGGGUUUAUGACAACCGUGAAGAGAAAAUGCUGCAUGAUCGAGUGUUAUAACUGCUGAUUUCUUUUUAAGGAAAAAAGAUCAGAUUAAUUUCCAGGAUAGAAGACAUUCAAAAUCAAGCGAAAAAUAAAGUAUUUGUUUGGAUUCAAAGAC
rnacentral:lncRNA from 1 species